UGUCCAUAAAAUUGUUAUAAGUACACCUCUGCAUAACAUUGUAUCCUUAUUAACAUUAAAGAAAACAAAAAAGAAAGAACUUUAGAUCAACUUACAACAAAGAAUAACAUUAUUAACAUUGUUUUUUUUAGUCUGUAACAAACUAUGUAAACAGUA